AAUGAACGUUGGCGGCAUGGAUUAGGCAUGCAAGUCGCGCGAUAAGAUUCCUUCGGGAAUUCCGAAAGCGGCGAAAGGGNGAGUAACGCGUAGAUGAUCUACCCCGAGGACUGGGGAUAGCGGCGGGAAACUGGCCGGUAAUACCAGAUGAUGUCUCGGACCAAAGGUGUGAUUCCGCCUUGGGAUGAAUCUGCGUCCUAAUUAGCUAGUUGGUGAGGUAACGGCUCGCCAAGGCGAAGAUGGGUACCGGGUGUGAGAGCAUGACCCGGCUCACUGGGGACUGAGACACUGCCCCAGACACC
rnacentral:rRNA from 1 species